AACGAACGCUGGCGGCACGCCUAACACAUGCAAGUCGAGCGCUUCACUUCGGUGAGGAGCGGCGGACGGGUUAGUAACGCGUGGGAACAUACCCUUUUCUAAGGAAUAGCCACUGGAAACGGUGAGUAAUACCUUAUACGCCCUUCGGGGGAAAGAUUUAUCGGUGAAGGAUUGGCCCGCGUUAGAUUAGUUUGUUGGUGGGGUAAUGGCCUACCAAGACUACGAUCUAUAGCUGGUUUGAGAGGAUGAUCAGCAACACUGGGACUGAGACACGGCCCAGACUCCUACGGGAGGCAGCAGUGGGGAAUCUUAGACAAUGGGCGCAAGCCUGAUCUAGCGAUGCCGCGUGAGUGAUGAAGGCCUUAGGGUCGUAAAGCUCUUUCGCCAGGGAUGAUAAUGACAGUACCUGGUAAAGAAACCCCGGCUAACUCCGUGCCAGCAGCCGCGGUAAUACGGAGGGGGUUAGCGUUGUUCGGAAUUACUGGGCGUAAAGCGUACGUAGGCGGAUCAGAAAGUAAGGGGUGAAAUCCCAGGGCUCAACCCUGGAACUGCCUCUUAAACUCCUGGUCUUGAGUUCGAGAGAGGUGAGUGGAAUUCCAAGUGUAGAGGUGAAAUUCGUAGAUAUUUGGAGGAACACCAGUGGCGAAGGCGGCUCACUGGCUCGAUACUGACG
rnacentral:rRNA from 1 species